rnacentral:tRNA from 1 species
GCCUACGUGGUGUAGUGGUCAGCACGCUCGACGAGUAACUGAAAGGUUCGCGGUUCGAUUCCCGGCGAAGGCA